AACGAACGCUGGCGGCAUGCCUAACACAUGCAAGUCGAACGAACCCUUCGGGGUUAGUGGCGCACGGGUGCGUAACACGUGGGAAUCUGCCCUUUGCUUCGGAAUAACAGUUAGAAAUGACUGCUAAUACCGGAUGAUGUCGUAAGACCAAAGAUUUAUCGGCAAAGGAUGAGCCCGCGUAGGAUUAGGUAGUUGGUGGGGUAAAGGCCUACCAAGCCGACGAUCCUUAGCUGGUCUGAGAGGAUGAUCAGCCACACUGGGACUGAGACACGGCCCAGACUCCUACGGGAGGCAGCAGUGGGGAAUAUUGGACAAUGGGCGAAAGCCUGAUCCAGCAAUGCCGCGUGAGUGAUGAAGGCCUUCGGGUUGUAAAGGACUCUUUUACCAGGGAUGAUAAUGACAGUACCUGGAGAAUAAGACUCCGGCUAACUCCGUG
rnacentral:rRNA from 1 species